rnacentral:rRNA from 1 species
UGCUGCGGUUAAAAAGCUCGUAGUUGGAUUUCCCUUUCGGACCGGCAACCCAUCCAAGGCGCGCCCUCGUCAUACGUGUUCGAGGCCCUUCGCCCUUCUCGUCUCGUAUGCCUUGGCAUUUUUUCCCCUUCCUAUCUCCUACUCACUGAGGCCUGUUGCUCAUCGCCGGCUCAAAUUGCGCGGUCGUGAUCGUGACUCUUGCAUACACGCAUGUCUGGGCUUGCUAGGGCGAGUUAGGUGCGCGUGUCUGUUCGGUGUAACGCGGAGUUUGUCGUUGUCGCUCUCGAGCGGUGACGCUUCUUCGUUCCGUUCAGGUGGCUCUCCUCUUCUUGUCUCCCUUACAUGUUUGCUUGUAGUGACGCCACUUCCGUUAGCUUCUUGUACAGCGCGGCGGGACAACGCUCAGAAGAGAAGAGAGAAGCUGGGGUUGGUGUCGAGGCGCGGGAAUUAAAAGCGAGUUGAAGCGUUCGAGGGUCUUGUUCCGGGCGAGUAAGCGCGCCCGGUGGUUCACUGAUCGGCUCCGAAUUGAAAAAGCCGUCGGCUUUCACGGGGUGCUCUUCACCGAGUGUCCCGCGUGGCCGACACGUUCACUUUGAAAAAAUUAGAGUGCUUAGAGCAGGCAAUAACUAAUGCCUGAAUGGUGGUGCAUGGAAUGAUGAAACAGGACCUCGGUUCUGUCCUUUUGUUCGG